rnacentral:rRNA from 1 species
UACAGAGGGUGCGAGCGUUGUCCGGAAUUACUGGGCGUAAAGCGCACGUAGGCGGACUACUAAGUCAGGGGUGAAAUCCCGGGGCUCAACCCCGGAACUGCCUUUGAUACUGAUAGUCUCGAGUCCGGAAGAGGUGAGUGGAAUUCCGAGUGUAGAGGUGAAAUUCGUAGAUAUUCGGAGGAACACCAGUGGCGAAGGCGGCGCACUGGUCCGGUACUGACGCUGAGGUGCGAAAGCGUGGGGAGCAAACAGG